rnacentral:lncRNA from 1 species
GGCUUCUCCCUGUGACUCUUGGCCAGACUCGUCUCACGGACCCACCUGUAGCCGCAGGACAGGCUGGGAAUCAAUGUUCCAGAGGAGAAACACGGGACAGAGGAGAGGGAAUGAGCAGCCCCAGGAACACUGCAUCUUCUGGGAAGGCCCAAAGCCAACGUAGCCGGAUGGUGUUCUUCUCUGCCCUUUGUCACGUCUGGAUUGCUUGUGUGGGGUGACCAGCCGGCCCAGACACAUCCCCAGUGACGGUCAAGAAAUCGGGUUUCCAGUUCCUUGGGACCUGGGCGCUGCUCCCUACGGCUUCCCGUCCCUCCCCCAGAAGUGAGCACAGAUCGCAGACCACGGAGGACACGGGGAGAGCGUGCCGUCCACUCGCCCAGCAGAGGCCCCGCAGGGAGGCCUGCAUCUCGGGCUUCAGCCCCUGGGACGGUGAGGAGUAAACUCACGUUUCUAGAGCCGCCUGGUUUGUGGUAUUUUUUUCGCGGCCCCUGAAGACUCAGUCAGGGGCUGGGUGGGGGGCAGGGCAGGUCCGCCUCACCUCUGCCUUGCAGGGUCACUGUGGACAAGCCACCACCUCUCUGGUUUUCCUCCUUCGGCCCGACGACGGGACAAGUGCCCUGGGAAAAACCCGUAGCUGGUCUCUUCAAGAGCAGCGGGGUCCCGUCCAGUGGUCUGGAGGCCCCGUCACUGGCUGGCCCCUGCCCCUCCGUGGCCUGUGACUUCAUGGGACACGUACCGAGCCACACAGGUCCUCUGCCCUCGUCUUACGGGCACACUGGGUCGGCUCUCGGGCGCCAGUCUGCCUGCAGGAGACUCUGCACCAGGGGGCCCGGAGCUCUCAUGGAGGGCACACUCCCACCCCAGCUGGCCGGCUGCGAGGGACAGUGUCCAAGCCACCAGCAGCCGGGCAUCCACCAUGGCUCCAGAUCCGCCCACUUGUGGCCCAGAGACAGGGUUUACAAAGAGUUGCUAGAGAGGAGGUGUGACUUGGAAAUUCGCAAGGACCUUCCCGAGGAUGUGUGCACGUGGAGACUGACCAGCCAAUUCCCAGACCCUUGGUCUUUCCUGAAGCUGAUCUACCCGGGAGGGUUGGUGAAGGGAUAAAGGGUUUCCGUUCUUCUCUUUUACAAACUCUGUCCUCCCACUUCGCUCCCAACCUCUUGUCUGUCCCACGUGCGGGCGCCCCGGGGUCUCGUGUGCAUCUGGGAAGGGGCGUGACGCGACAGCUGGGAGGCUCCUCCCUUCGUGUGUCAAGGAUUUGAAGUGUUUGCUUUCAACUCAGGAGAAAAAGAACUAACUGGGAUUUCUCUGGAAGGGCCCAUGGGUGAAGGAUUCCCUUCAUUCUUGUGUGUGGAGACGUGUUUUCCUGUGGCCUUGAUACUCAAGGGACCACUUGGCUGGACAUAAAUUCUCACCUGUGCUCCUGCCCCCUCGGUUUUGGAGAAAUUCGACUCUGUGGUUGUCUCGUUUAGUCUGGCCAUGGUUGAAAGGCUUAAUCUAAUUCUUUGCCUUUUUAAUUUCUUUUGUUAAAAACAUGUUUAUUUAUUUAUUUUUUUCAACGUUUUUAUUUAUUUUUGGGACAGAGAGAGACAGAACAUGAACGGGGGAGGGGCAGAGAGAGAGGGCGACACAGAAUCGGAAACAGGCUCCAGGCUCUGAGCCAUCAGCCCAGAGCCUGACGCGGGGCUCGAACUCACGGACCACGAGAUUGUGACCUGGUUGAAGUUGGACGCUUAACCGACUGCGCCACCCAGGCGCCCCAAAACAUGUUUAUUUUUGAGAGAGAGAGAGAGAGACAGAGCAUGAGUGGGGGAGGGGCAGAGACAGAGGAAGACACACAAUCCGAAGCAGGCUCCAGGCUAGCUGUCAGCACAGAGCCUGAUGUGGGGCUCGAACCCACGAACUGCCAGAUCAUGACCUGAGCUGAAGUCAGAUGCUCAACCGACUGAGCCACCCAGGUGCUCUGAGAUUUGGGCUGGGUUUUUAUGUCUUCAGAUGCUUGUUGGGUGGUAGUAUGUAAUUCCGUUUCGAGUGUAGACAUGCCGUUGGCUUCCGUCUUCUUCCCGCCUCCUCCGAGGUCAGGCGGACUCUCUUCCCUCCAUUUGUGUGCGUUCAUUUCCUGCCGCCCGGCCGCCUUCUCUGUGCGUUUCAUCUCCUUGUUUAUUCCGCACGAAGUUUGCAGUUAGACCUGGCCUUUCCUGCACGUCUGGGGACUACGGUCCUUUGGUGGGAGUUUGCUUUGGGGGAAGGGGGUGUGGACCCCCUGUGGGUCACCUGCACACACCACUCCUCUCCUUGCUCAAAGUCCAAUGGACCUUCUCCUUCCCAUGAGGCCUUCAGAAUCCGAGGGUUUUCUGGCCGCUGAGUCCGGUCUUCCCGCGGCCGUGGGUCUGGCCCGCAGCCUCUGUGUCGCUGGGGGCAUAUCACGUCUCCUCUUCUUACAGGCGUUUUGCAGUCCUGUUGACUUAUUUUUAAUUAAUUACUCAUUUCUAUUUUAAUUCCAAUAUCAUUAGCAUUUUGCAGUUUUGACCUGCUUUUUCCCAAGUAACACUGAGGGUUUUGCACAGAAAUGUCAUGGCUACUUUGGAUCAUUUGGGGAGGAGUGAGUUGAAUCCUGUGUCUGGAGAUAUUUGACACCCUUCUUUCUUUUAUGGCCAAACCACUCAGGCCAACAGAUCAGCAAAACUAUAGAAGAUUUGAACAGUAGCAUCUGUCAUCGUCACCUCAUUGGUAUCCUCAGAGCUGUGAACGUGGAAACGGACACUCAGAAGGGCAUAUGGCACCUUCCAGAACAUGGACUCCCUACCUGAACGUAAAAACAAGCUCAAUAAAAUUCAAAAGUUUACAAUCA